rnacentral:rRNA from 1 species
GGGUAGUUUGACUGGGGCGGUCUCCUCCCAAAGCGUAACGGAGGAGCACGAAGGUUAGCUAAUCCUGGUCGGACAUCAGGAGGUUAGUGCAAUGGCAUAAGCUAGCUUGACUGCGAGCGUGACGGCGCGAGCAGGUGCGAAAGCAGGUCAUAGUGAUCCGGUGGUUCUGAAUGGAAGGGCCAUCGCUCAACGGAUAAAAGGUACUCCGGGGAUAACAGGCUGAUACCGCCCAAGAGUUCAUAUCGACGGCGGUGUUUGGCACCUCGAUGUCGGCUCAUCACAUCCUGGGGCUGAAGUAGGUCCCAAGGGUAUGGCUGUUCGCCAUUUAAAGUGGUACGCGAGCUGGGUUUAGAACGUCGUGAGACAGUUCGGUCCCUAUCUGCCGUGGGCGCUGGAGAAUUGAGGGGGGCUGCUCCUAGUACGAGAGGACCGGAGUGGACGCAUCACUGGUGUUCGGGUUGUCAUGCCAAUGGCACUGCCCGGUAGCUAAAUGCGGAAGAGAUAAGUGCUGAAAGCAUCUAAGCACGAAACUUGCCCCGAGAUGAGUUCUCCCUGAGACUUUAAGUCUCCUGAAGGAACGUUGAAGACGACGACGUUGAUAGGCCGGGUGUGUAAGCGCAGCGAUGCGUUGAGCUAACCGGUACUAAUGAACCGUGAGGCUUAACCUU